GACGAACGCUGGCGGCGUGCCUAACACAUGCAAGUUGAGCGACGAACCAGGGCUUGCCCUGGGGCAAAGCAGCGAACGGGUGAGUAACACGUGGGCAACCUGCCCCGAUGACCGGGACAACCCGAGGAAACUCGAGCUAAUACCGGAUGUGUCCUCUGGACUCAAGUCCAAUGGGCAAAGGAAGCUUCGGCCUCCGCAUUGGGAGGGGCCCGCGGCCCAUUAGCUAGUUGGUGAGGAACGGCUCACCAAGCCUUCGAUCGGUAGCUGGUCUGAGAGGAUGACCAGCCACACUGGGACUGAGACACGGCCCAGACUCCUACGGGAGGCAGCAGUGGGGAAUAUUGGACAAUGGCGCAAGCCUGAUCCAGCCAUGCCGCGUGAGUGAUGAAGGCCU
rnacentral:rRNA from 1 species